rnacentral:rRNA from 1 species
UACGGGGGGGGCAAGCGUUGUUCGGAAUUACUGGGCGUAAAGGGUUUGUAGGUGGCCAACUAAGUCAUACGUGAAAUCCCUCAGCUUAACUGGGGAACUGCGUCUGAUACUGGUUGGCUUGAGUGCAGGAGAGGAACGCGGAAUUCCAGGUGUAGCGGUGAAAUGCGUAGAUAUCUGGAGGAACACCGGUGGCGAAGGCGGCAUCCUGGACCAACAUUGACGCUGAGGAGCGAAAGCCAGGGGAGCAAACGGG